rnacentral:misc_RNA from 1 species
GAAAAGAACUUUGAAAAGAGAGUUAAACAGUACGUGAAAUUGUUGAUAGGGAAACGAUUGAAGUCAGUCAUGCCGGCGAGAAAUCAGCCUACAGGCUACUGUGGGUGCACUUUUUUGCAAGGCAGGUUAACAUCGAUUUUUGAUCAUCAUAAAAGGACCGGAGGAAUGUAGCUUCGAUCUCGUAUUGAAGUGUUAUAGACUUUGGUAAAUGUGAUGAUUAGGAUCGAGGAUUGCAACGAAUACCCUUUUUAGCUAUCCGUCUGAUCUCUGAUACGUGACCUCGGUAUCGAAAGCACGCUU